CUUAAGCAUAUCAAUAAGCGGAGGAAAAGAAACCAACAGGGAUUGCCCUAGUAACGGCGAGUGAAGCGGCAACAGCUCAAAUUUGAAAUCUGGCGCAAGCCCGAGUUGUAAUUUGUAGAGGAUGCUUCUAGGUAGCGACCGGUCUAAGUUCCUUGGAACAGGACGUCAUAGAGGGUGAGAAUCCCGUAUGUGACCGGCCCGCACCUUCUACGUAGCUCCUUCGACGAGUCGAGUUGUUUGGGAAUGCAGCUCUAAAUGGGAGGUAAAUUUCUUCUAAAGCUAAAUACCGGCCAGAGACCGAUAGCGCACAAGUAGAGUGAUCGAAAGAUGAAAAGCACUUUGGAAAGAGAGUUAAAAAGCACGUGAAAUUGUUGAAAGGGAAGCGCUUACAACCAGACUUCUGGGCGGUGUUCCGCCGGUCUUUUGACCGGUCUACUCGCCGUCCCGAGGCCAACAUCAUCUGGGACCGCCGGAUAAGACCUCAGGAAUGUAGCUCCCCUCGGGGAGUGUUAUAGCCUGUGGUGAUGCGGCGCGUCUCGGGUGAGGUCCGCGCUUCGGCAAGGAUGUUGGCGUAAUGGUUGUCAGCGGCCCGUCUUGAAACACGGACCAAGGAGUCUAACAUCUAUGCGAGUGUUCGGGUGUCAAACCCCUACGCGUAAUGAAAGUGAACGGAGGUGGGAAGGGUAACCUGCACCAUCGACCGAUCCUGAUGUCCUCGGAUGGAUUUGAGUAAGAGCAUAGCUGUUGGGACCCGAAAGAUGGUGAACUAUGCCUGAAUAGGGUGAAGCCAGAGGAAACUCUGGUGGAGGCUCGCAGCGGUUCUGACGUGCAAAUCGAUCGUCAAAUUUGGGUAUAGGGGCGAAAGACUAAUCGAACCAU
rnacentral:rRNA from 1 species